GCCUGCGCUGUCAUAGCAACAGCCCGCCUCUGCGACUGGGCCAACCAAUGGCAGCCGGAGCUGGUGAGGUCAGCAGCACACCCAGCUGCCCCGUGGGGACUGGAGAGGAGGCACGGCAUGGCGGGAGGCAGGGUGGGGACCCAGGAAAUUCCAGGGAGAGAGGCACUGGUGCUGGCGAGGCCUUUCUCUCCAGAGGCCGUCUUCCCGUGUCCCCGUCAUUCUCGAACACUUCCUAACUUCCUGGCACCAAAAGACGUUCUGUUACCUCGUUCCAUCCCUGGCCCAACCCUGGAAUCAGUCGUUUCUUCAAGGAAGGGUCUCGAGUUUAAGUUGGCGGUGUGGUUCCCACAUGAGGGGGAACAGUGUGUGUAGGCGCCGAGAGAGUUUAUUUAUGAAACACAACAUUAAAAAACCCCAG
rnacentral:lncRNA from 1 species